UACGGAGGGGCUAGCGUUGUUCGGAAUUACUGGGCGUAAAGCGCACGUAGGCGGCUUUGUAAGUUAGAGGUGAAAGCCCGGGGCUCAACCCCGGAAUUGCCUUUAAGACUGCAUCGCUAGAAUUGUGGAGAGGUAAGUGGAAUUCCGAGUGUAGAGGUGAAAUUCGUAGAUAUUCGGAAGAACACCAGUGGCGAAGGCGACUUACUGGACACAUACUGACGCUGAGGUGCGAAAGCGUGGGGAGCAAACAGGG
rnacentral:rRNA from 1 species